rnacentral:rRNA from 1 species
UACGUAGGGGGCGAGCGUUGUCCGGAUUUAUUGGGCGUAAAGAGCGUGUAGGCGGCCAGGUAGGUCUGCUGUGAAAACUCGAGGCUCAACCUCGAGACGUCGGCGGAAACCAUCUGGCUAGAGUCCGGAAGAGGAGAGUGGAAUUCCUGGUGUAGCGGUGAAAUGCGCAGAUAUCAGGAAGAACACCCGUGGCGAAGGCGGCUCUCUGGGACGGUACUGACGCUGAGACGCGAAAGCGUGGGGAGCAAACGGG